GAUCUGCAUACAUAUUCUUAGUUUUGAUCCAGAAACAUAAGAACAUGUGGUCUGGAUCUUAGCUUUGUUUUUAUCGAAAAAUAAGUUUGUUUCCUUUCGUCGGUGACACAAAACUGUUUGUUUUUUUCCCGGAAAAAAUAGAAACAGAUACCUAAUGGGGUUUUUGACACAUCAAACAAUUUUUUUGAGCCCAAAUAACGGUAUACAUCAGCCCAAAUCAUAAUCUUAAUUUCAUUUUCAUUAAUGAAAUUGUGAUUAUAAUUUUCUUUAGAAAAAUGAUUUAAGAAAAUAUAUUAGGGCAAUUCUUUCAAAUAGACUUUUUAAGUUUUUGUCACAAAAAUAGACCUCAAAAACUAAAAUGACCAAAAUAGCAUUUUUUAUUUUGAAAAUUUUAAAUUUAAAAAAAAAAUUGAAAUCAUAUCCCCAAAACUCCACUCUUCAACUCUAAACCCUAAACUCUAAAUCCUAAACCUUAAACCCUAAACCCUAAACUCCACCCCUUAACUCUAAACUCUAAUGUCUAGAUUAAUUAACCAUAUGGGUAUAUGUGUAUAUUUAUUUCUUUUGAUAAAACAUUUAAGUCUAUUUUGGUCAUUUUUAUUUUUAUGGUCUAUAUUUGUGACAUAACAAUUUCUAGGUCUAUCCCAAGGAAUUUCUCAAUAUUAUAUUAUAUAUUGUUAAAAAAAAAACAUUUCUUCUUUAUUUAGGUACAAACAUAAAAUUCACAAUAAUUAUAGAUAUAUAUUUUGUUUAUAAAAUCGUUAAAAUUGAUAGCAUAUUAUCAUUUACUAAACAAUUAACAUUUCAAUAUGUACUUUUUUUUAUAAAAAUAGAAGACUUAAAAUGGAAAAGAAAUAAAAAUUUAUAAAAAAAUAAAAAUUAAUAUGGUGAUACAAUUGUAUUACAAAAUGGUUAUUCAUCUUAAAUAUAUGAGAAGUUCAUAUAGAAAACAAAAAACACAUAUAAAAACACUUAACACCCGCACGGGCGUGCGGGUCAAGCUCUAGUCUAUACUAUUAAAAUUUAAAACAGAACCAAAAAACUGAUCCAACUUGAUUUUAGGUAGAAUAUUUUUUUUAGAAAAAAAACUAUAUUCUUUUUUUUUCUGAGCAACCGAAAAACUAUAUACAUAUAUAUUUUUGAGCAACAGAAAUAUACUAUAUUCUAUAUAUUUUAAACUAACAAAUCUCCAUAAAUAUCUCUCUUUUAAGGUGCGGGCCCCAUAGUUGCUGCGAAGUUAUCAUAUAAUGUAAGAGUUUUUAUGUAAUUUAUUUUCACUAUUAAAAUCAACUUCAGUAUAGAUAGGUUUAUAAAAGAUAAGAAGUUUUACAAUAUAAGGUAAAGAUUCUCCUGAUUUCCCUAUAUAACCGAAUCACUCAAAAAUUUAAAAAUAUUUUAAUUUAUCUGAUUUUUAUUCAAAAAAAUUCCAAAAAUGUGAUUUUUAAUCGAAUUAUUCGAAAUUAUCUGAAAACUUGAACCCAAAUAGAGCCGAAUUGAAUUCAAACAUUUAUUGGGUUUCUAACAUUAUUAUCCAUAUCAAACCGAAAACAAAAAUAAUCAAACCGGAACCAAACCCAAAUUCAUAAAUAAUUAAAUUUUUUCUAUAUCUCUUGAGUCAAAAAAAAAAAAACCACAACCGAACCAAAACUGAACAUUAUUGAAAAAUCUGAAGGGUUAAUAAGUUUGUCAAAAAAAUCAUUUAUGUACACCCCUCUAAUAUCAUUUAAAACUCAUAAAAAUCAAAUUUUUACAAGUCUUCAAAUUCUAGAUUCAGUACACCCCUCUAAUAUCAAUAGAAAUAUCUUCAAAUUCAGUAAUUACAUUUUUAAUAACAAUGGAUUUUAUCACAAGUUCAAUAACACUAUAUUUUAAACGAGUUCUUAAUAUUUAUGUUUAAAUAAUAAACAAUUUAUCAUUUUUAUACAAAUAACUUCAAAUUUUAGUUUGAAUAUUUCUCCCCUUAAUGAUUAGAUAAAUUCUUUUUGGUCAAAAGAUAAUCCCAUAGUCAAACUCUACAUUUUAGAUUUACAACUCAACGAAUUGAGAACCCAUAUCAGUGGUCAAAUACGAAUGAAGCAUUUUCAGAGAGCACGGAAAAUAAUAAGAAACUAGGUGGUAACCCGCUCUUUAUGCGGAGUAAUAGGCUAAAAUAAAUUAUAACUUUUAAUUCGUAGAUAUUAAAAAGUAAAAAAAAAAUACAUAUUGACUCAGUAUAUAAAAACUGCCCAUUGUGAAACUUAUAAAAUUAAUAUAAUAUACAUAUCAAUGCAAAACAAACAAUUUGGACAUCCUAAAAUUCCCUAAUUGAUCAUCUAAUUAUUUAAAUAUUUGGAAAGCAUACAGCUUCGGAUAUUUGACCAUAAACAUUUCAAAUCUUUGGUUACUCUCAUAUAUCCAUUUAAAUCAUGCUCAUAAAAACAUACAAUUUCAAAACAAUAUAUGGACAUCACAUUUAUGAAGAUUUCUUAAUAUCAAAACAAUCUGCGGAUAUAGUUAUCAAAAUUAUGGAAAGAAAACAUUUGACUUCACAUAAUCAAAAUAACACUAAACUACUGAAAUAUCAGUGUAUUCCAUUAGAAAAAUAUAGAUUAAUCAAGACAUGAAUGACGUUAUUUCCGAUUCAUUCACAAAUUUAAAAUUCAUCUCUAAUUAUUUUUCUAUUAACAUUUAUGAAGAUUUCAAAAUUAUAAAGUCUUGGUGGUUAAGUUAAGGGAUUGAAUUUACUAUGUCCUUAUUUGUUUUGAAUUUUCUGUACUAUCAGUCAAAGUUUCUUUUACAAUAAAUUUUUACACUGAAAAAUUGUAUAAACGAUAAUUUAGAAAAGAGCAUGUUAAAAAUUACCAACGUAUAAUGUCCUAUUGAACCCAUAAGACUUAAUACUAUGCAGGAUCAAAAUAAUAUAUGCUGAUACGAUUUCUUGCGCAUGCUAAUCAUCUUUAUAUCAUUCCAAAUUUAUUGGACCCAUACAGAAACUACAUUACUUACUUACGCACAUAACACAUAGAUAUAUCAUUGGGAACAUAUAGCAUAAUAUAUAAUUCAAAAAUAAAAAUAUUAUGCUACUUAUAAUAAAUAAUCAAUUAUAUCCAAUAAUACAGCAUACACAUCGAAAAAUAUUCGGGUUAGUUUGUGUUUAAUCAUUG